rnacentral:rRNA from 1 species
AACGAACGCUGGCGGCAGGCCUAACACAUGCAAGUCGAGCGAGGACUUCGGUCCUAGCGGCGGACGGGUGAGUAACGCGUGGGAACGUGCCCUUUGCUUCGGAAUAGCCCUGGGAAACUGGGAGUAAUACCGGAUGAGCCCUUUGGGGGAAAGAUAUAUCGGCGAAGGAUCGGCCCGCGUUGGAUUAGGUAGUUGGUGGGGUAAUGGCCUACCAAGCCGACGAUCCAUAGCUGGUUUGAGAGGAUGAUCAGCCACACUGGGACUGAGACACGGCCCAGACUCCUACGGGAGGCAGCAGUGGGGAAUCUUAGACAAUGGGGGAAACCCUGAUCUAGCCAUGCCGCGUGAGCGAUGAAGGCCUUAGGGUUGUAAAGCUCUUUCAGCUGGGAAGAUAAUGACGGUACCAGCAGAAGAAGCCCCGGCUAACUCCGUG